UACGGAAGGGGCAAGCGUUGUUCGGAAUUAUUGGGCGUAAAGGGCGCGUAGGUGGUUCUGUAUGUCUACCGUGAAAGCGUACGGCUCAACCGUAUUUUGUCGGUAGAAACUGCAGGACUUGAGGCUGGGAGGGGCUGGUGGAAUUCCCUGUGUAGCGGUGAAAUGCGUAGAGAUGGGGGAGAACACUCGUGGCGAAGGCGGCCAGCUAGACCAGUUCUGACACUGAGGCGCGACAGCGUGGGGAGCAAACAGG
rnacentral:rRNA from 1 species